rnacentral:misc_RNA from 1 species
AGCUGAUUUGCAGCUUCAAUGGCGCUUUCCAUUUUAGGCCACCCUCCAACAAACUCAGAUACAUUGGUGGGGAGACUCGUAUCAUUUUGGUCGACCGGAACAUCGGCUUCUUCAAGCUUCUCAAUAAGAUGUCCGAUCUUUGCCCUAAAUUACGCUCUUUCUCGCUCAAGUACCAGCUUCCCAUGUACGGGUCAGAAUCCGGGUCCCGACGUGCCCGUGACCCCGAGUCAGACUUGGAAACGGGUGUUCCUCUGGUAUCGAUUGCCUCCGACGAAGA